AUUGAACGCUGGCGGCAUGCCUUACACAUGCAAGUCGAACGGCAGCACGGGUGCUUGCACCUGGUGGCGAGUGGCGAACGGGUGAGUAAUACAUCGGAACAUGUCCUGUAGUGGGGGAUAGCCCGGCGAAAGCCGGAUUAAUACCGCAUACGAUCCACGGAUGAAAGCGGGGGACCUUCGGGCCUCGCGCUAUAGGGUUGGCCGAUGGCUGAUUAGCUAGUUGGUGGGGUAAAGGCCUACCAAGGCGACGAUCAGUAGCUGGUCUGAGAGGACGACCAGCCACACUGGGACUGAGACACGGCCCAGACUCCUACGGUAGGCAGCAGUGGGGAAUUUUGGACAAUGGGCGAAAGCCUGAUCCAGCAAUGCCGCGUGUGUGAAGAAGGCCUUCGGGUUGUAAAGCACUUUUGUCCGGAAAGAAAUCCUUGGCUCUAAUACAGUCGGGGGAUGACGGUACCGGAAGAAUAAGCACCGGCUAACUACGUG
rnacentral:rRNA from 1 species